rnacentral:rRNA from 1 species
GACGAACGCUGGCGGCGUGCUUAACACAUGCAAGUCGAACGGAAAGGCCUGCUUUCCCUUGUGGAUUGCGGGUACUCGAGUGGCGAACGGGUGAGUAACACGUGAGUGAUCUGCCCCCAACUUGGGUAUAAGCCUGGGAAACUGGGUCUAAUUCCCGAUAGGACUGCAGGGUGGUGCCUGUGGUGGAAAACGAUUUUCUAGUGGUUGGGGAUGAGCUCGCGGCCUAUCAGCUUGUUGGUGGGGUAAUGGCCUACCAAGGCGGCGACGGGUAGCCGGCCUGAGAGGGUGGACGGCCACAUUGGGACUGGGAUACGGCCCAGACUCCUGCGGGAGGCAGCAGUGGGGAAUAUUGCACAGUGGGCGGAAGCCUGAUGCAGCGACGCCGCGUGGGGGAUGACGGGCUUCGGGUUGUAAACUCCUUUCGACCGCGAGGAAGCCACCUGGUUGGAAGGGUGGUGACGGUAGUGGUAGAAGAAGCACCGGCUAACUACGUG